rnacentral:rRNA from 1 species
CGCUAGCCAUAGGCGUAACACAUGCAAGUUGAGGGGCAGCAUGGUCUUUGCUUGCUAAGGCCGAUGGCGACCGGCGCACGGGUGAGUAACACGUAUCCAACCUGCCGUCUACUCUUGGACAGCCUUCUGAAAGGAAGAUUAAUACAAGAUGGCAUCAUGAGUCCGCAUGUUCACAUGAUUAAAGGUAUUCCGGUAGACGAUGGGGAUGCGUUCCAUUAGAUAGUAGGCGGGGUAGCGGCCCACCUAGUCUUCGAUGGAUAGGGGUUCUGAGAGGAAGGUCCCCCACAUUGGAACUGAGACACGGUCCAAACUCCUACGGGAGGCAGCAGUGAGGAAUAUUGGUCAAUGGGCGAGAGCCUGAACCAGCCAAGUAGCGUGAAGGAUGACUGCCCUAUGGGUUGUAAACUUCUUUUAUAAAGGAAUAAAGUCGGGUAUGUAUACCCGUUUGCAUGUAUUUUAUGAAUAAGGAUCGGCUAACUCCGUGCCAGCAGCCGCGGUAAUACGGAGGAUCCGAGCGUUAUCCGGAUUUAUUGGGUUUAAAGGGAGCGUAGAUGGAUGUUUAAGUCAGUUGUGAAAGUUUGCGGCUCAACCGUAAAAUUGCAGUUGAUACUGGAUAUCUUGAGUGCAGUUGAGGCAGGCGGAAUUCGUGGUGUAGCGGUGAAAUGCUUAGAUAUCACGAAGAACUCCGAUUG